CCUACGGGAGGCUGCAGUGAGGAAUAUUGGUCAAUGGACGAGAGUCUGAACCAGCCAAGUAGCGUGAAGGAUGACUGCCCUAUGGGUUGUAAACUUCUUUUAUAUGGGAAUAAAAUGUUCCACGUGUGGGAUUUUGUCUGUACCAUAUGAAUAAGGAUCGGCUAACUCCGUGCCAGCAGCCGCGGUAAUACGGAGGAUCCGAGCGUUAUCCGGAUUUAUUGGGUUUAAAGGGAGCGUAGGUGGAUGGUUAAGUCAGUUGUGAAAGUUUGCGGCUCAACCGUAAAAUUGCAGUUGAAACUGGCAGUCUUGAGUACAGUAGAGGUGGGCGGAAUUCGUGGUGUAGCGGUGAAAUGCUUAGAUAUCACGCAGAACUCCGAUUGCGAAGGCAGUUCACUGGACUGCAACUGACACUGAGGCUCGAAAGUGUGGGUAUCAAACAGGAUUAGAUACCCCAGUAGUC
rnacentral:rRNA from 1 species